UACGUAGGGUGCGAGCGUUGUCCGGAAUUAUUGGGCGUAAAGGGCUCGUAGGCGGUUUGUCGCGUCGGGAGUGAAAACCCAGGGCUUAACUCUGGGCUUGCUUUCGAUACGGGCAGACUAGAGGUAUGCAGGGGAGAACGGAAUUCCGUGGUGUAGCGGUGAAAUGCGUAGAUAUCUGGAGGAACACCGGUGGCGAAGGCGGCGAUUCUGGACCGACAUUGACGGCUGAGGAGCGAAAGCCAGGGGAGCAAAACGGGG
rnacentral:rRNA from 1 species